CCUACGGGUGGCAGCAGUGGGGAAUAUUGGACAAUGGGGGGAACCCUGAUCCAGCCAUGCCGCGUGUGUGAAGAAGGCCCUCGGGUUGUAAAGCACUUUCAGUGAGGAAGAACGCCUGGUGGUUAAUACCCAUCAGGAAAGACAUCACUCACAGAAGAAGCACCGGCUAACUCCGUGCCAGCAGCCGCGGUAAUACGGAGGGUGCGAGCGUUAAUCGGAAUUACUGGGCGUAAAGCGCGCGUAGGUGGCUUGAUAAGCCGGUUGUGAAAGCCCCGGGCUCAACCUGGGAACGGCAUCCGGAACUGUCAAGCUAGAGUGCAGGAGAGGAAGGUAGAAUUCCCGGUGUAGCGGUGAAAUGCGUAGAGAUCGGGAGGAAUACCAGUGGCGAAGGCGGCCUUCUGGACUGACACUGACACUGAGGUGCGAAAGCGUGGGUAGCAAACAGGAUUAGAUACCAUAGUAGUC
rnacentral:rRNA from 1 species